rnacentral:lncRNA from 1 species
UCUUGUGUUGUAGCCAAGGCAUGAUGCAUACCAUUCUCUACUGUGCCUAGCACCUCACAAGGCCUCCAUCUCAUCCUCUUCUAGCAUGCACGGCAAACAAAAGAGGAAGUGUGCAGUGGACUCCACAUUUCACACUUUUGUGGACCCAUGCAUCUGAAAUGACAGCUUUCUGAGAGAUAAAUGUGUAACGUCCAAGAACUAGCUGGCAAAUUUUUUUUUUAUCAUUAGGCUUGUAACUUCUAAGCACUAACUAACAAUUUCAAUUUUUUUUGUAUUUACACUUGUAACAUCCAAGCACCAACUAACAAUUUCAAUUUUUUUUUUGUAUUUACACUUGUAACAUCAAAGCACCAACUGUCGACAUCAAAUGUUUUUGUCUUUUCUCGUGUGUCAGCUUCAGAAUAGGACAGGAAAACCAGCCUGUUUUCAUGAGGGCUGGACAACCACAUGGCCAUGCAAACUGGCCUGGCUAGUUCAAACUGAUCUGUCCGGUUCUCUGCGAGCCCGUUGCAGAAAAUCUUUCGAAAAUUGUAAUUAAUUCUUCCAAAUUCUAAAUGAGGAAACUAUAUAUAUGUGUUUUUCAAUCAACACAACCAAUGGAACACAAUGAUACAAUCCAUUCUUGCAUUUGACAAAGUUGGCCAAACCGGCCUGGGUGGUUCCGGCUAGGUCAGCCCCUUGAAAAGCUAUUUUAUUGGUCCAAGCUCUAAAUGAGAUGGUCCAAAUAUAUUUUUUGACCGAUUUUGAGUGUCAAAAAUUUGACCAGAUGAUUUGGUGAGGGAAGAAUACAUGGACUAUAUGUUACUGGCUUGAAUAGUGAAAUUAGAGAAGAAAGAGGAGACCAGAUGAUUUAAUGCAAGAAAUACUUGCAACAGAGUAUUGCAUAUAUAGUGAAUCUGCAUAGUGCUAAGUUGGCAUGAAGAAAACAUUGCACCAGAUGAUUUUGUGGUCUUCAAUAAUGACUUGACUAGAGGAUUCGUUAGAAAGGGUUACAAAGUUAGAGUUUGAGUGAGACAUGCAUUGGAUGAUCUAGGCAUGUACUAGGCUUAUGAGAGGUCA